rnacentral:rRNA from 1 species
GUCGAGCGGAUGAAGAGAGCUUGCUCUCUGAUUCAGCGGCGGACGGGUGAGUAAUGCCUAGGAAUCUGCCUGGUAGUGGGGGACAACGUUUCGAAAGGAACGCUAAUACCGCAUACGUCCUACGGGAGAAAGCAGGGGACCUUCGGGCCUUGCGCUAUCAGAUGAGCCUAGGUCGGAUUAGCUAGUUGGUGAGGUAAUGGCUCACCAAGGCGACGAUCCGUAACUGGUCUGAGAGGAUGAUCAGUCACACUGGAACUGAGACACGGUCCAGACUCCUACGGGAGGCAGCAGUGGGGAAUAUUGGACAAUGGGCGAAAGCCUGAUCCAGCCAUGCCGCGUGUGUGAAGAAGGUCUUCGGAUUGUAAAGCACUUUAAGUUGGGAGGAAGGGCAGUAAGCGAAUACCUUGCUGUUUUGACGUUACCGACAGAAUAAGCACCGGCUAACUCUGUGCCAGCAGCCGCGGUAAUACAGAGGGUGCAAGCGUUAAUCGGAAUUACUGGGCGUAAAGCGCGCGUAGGUGGUUUGUUAAGUUGGAUGUGAAAGCCCCGGGCUCAACCUGGGAACUGCAUUCAAAACUGACAAGCUAGAGUAUGGUAGAGGGUGGUGGAAUUUCCUGUGUAGCGGUGAAAUGCGUAGAUAUAGGAAGGAACACCAGUGGCGAAGGCGACCACCUGGACUGAUACUGA